UGGGGAAUUUUGCACAAUGGGGGAAACCCUGAUGCAGCGACGCCGCGUGAUUUAGAAGGCCUUCGGGUUGUAAAAAUCUUUUUUACGGGAUGAAAAUGACAGUACCGUAAGAAUAAGGUCCGGCUAAAUACGUGCCAGCAGCCGCGGUAAUACGUAUGGACCGAGCGUUGUCCGGAAUCAUUGGGCGUAAAGGGUACGUAGGCGGCCUAGUAAGUUAGAAGUGAAAUAAUAUAGCUCAACUAUAUAAAGCUUUUAAAACUGCUAGGCUUGAGAGAUGGAAGGGAAAGGGGAAUUCCUAGUGUAGCGGUGAAAUGAGCAGAUAUUAGGAAGAAUACCGGUGGCGAAGGCGACUUUCUGGUCAACAUCUGACGCUGAGGUACGAAAGCGUGGGUAGCAAACAGG
rnacentral:rRNA from 1 species